AGAGUUUGAUCAUGGCUCAGAACGUACGCUGGCGGCACGCCUAACACAUGCAAGUCGAACGAAGUAGCAAUACUUAGUGGCAGACGGGUGAGUAACAUGUAGGUAUCUGCCCUUUGGCCUGGAAUAACACGAGGAAACUUGUGCUAAUACCGGAUAAGUCUUUACGGAGAAAGCUUUAUGCACCAUUGGAUGAGCCUGCACUUGAUUAGUUAGUUGGUAGGGUAAAAGCCUACCAAGACUUUGAUCAAUAGCUGAUUUGAGAGGAUGAUCAGCCACAUUGGGACUGAGACACGGCCCAAACUCCUACGGGAGGCAGCAGUGGGGAAUCUUGCACAAUGGAGGAAACUCUGAUGCAGCGAU
rnacentral:rRNA from 1 species